GUGAGCCACACACAUUUGGCAGGACCUGUAAGGAACGGUGUAGUGGAUCAGAGGGAUGCAAGUCAUAUGUGUUCUGUCUGCCAGACCCCUAUGGGUGUUCCUGUGCCACAGGCUGGAGGGGGCUGCAGUGCAAUGAAGCAUGUCCAUACGGUCACUAUGGGCCAGACUGUAAGCUCAGGUGCCACUGUACCAAUGAAGAGAUGUGUGACCGCUUCCAAGGAUGCCUCUGCUCUCAAGGAUGGCAAGGGCUGCAGUGUGAGAAAGAAGGUAAAGCAAGGUAACAUGUGGUCAGGGUCAUGUUCACCAUGUCUGAGGAAAGCCCUACUGGUGUAAUUCUUACCCUGGCAUCGCCAAAAUAAAACAACAAAUAC
rnacentral:lncRNA from 1 species